rnacentral:lncRNA from 1 species
CCUUAUUCCAGAUAAUAAAUGUUUCGUCUUGGGUUCCAAGGAGCUGGCUGCAUCCAAACUGCAAUGAACCUAUACCAUAGAACACAGAACACAAACAUUGAACCUGCUGAGCCUGUAUGA